CGGUCGCGUAACACGUGGGCAACCUGCCCCGAAGCGGGGGACAACAGCCUGAAAGGGCUGCUAAUACCGCAUGUGGAUCGCCCUGGCAUCAGGGAUUAUCCAAAGGCCUUCGGGUCACUUCGGGAUGGGCCCGCGGCCUAUCAGCUGGUUGGGGGGGUAACGGCCCACCAAGGCUUCGACGGGUAGCUGGUCUGAGAGGACGAUCAGCCGGAUUGGGACUGAGAUACGGCCCAG
rnacentral:rRNA from 1 species